GAUCGGCCCGCGUCUGAUUAGCUAGGUGGUGGGGUAACGGCCUACCAAGGCUAUGAUCCGUAGCUGGUCUGAGAGGAUGAUCAGCCACACUGGGACUGAGACACGGCCCACACUCCUACGGGAGGCAGCAGUAGGGAAUAUUGGACAAUGGGCGAAAGCCUGAUCCAGCAAUGCCGCGUGAGUGAGGAAGGCCUUAGGGUUGUAAAGCUCUUUCGGCGGGGACGAUGAUGACGGUACCCGCAGAAGAAGCCCCGGCUAACUUCGUGCCAGCAGCCGCGGUAAUACGAAGGGGGCAAGCGUUGUUCGGAAUUACUGGGCGUAAAGGGCGCGUAGGCGGCCGUCUUUGUCAGGUGUGAAAGCCCUGGGCUCAACCUGGGGAUUGCACUUGGGACGGGAUGGCUUGAGUUCGGGAGAGGAGAGUGGAAUUCCCAGUGUAGAGGUGAAAUUCGUAGAUAUUGGGAAGAACACCGGUGGCGAAGGCGGCUCUCUGGACCGAUACUGACGCUGAGGCGCGAAAGCGUGGGGAGCAAACAAGAUUAGAUACCCUGGUAGUCCACGCCGUAAACGAUGUGUGCUAGACGUUGGGGAGCCUAACUCUUCGGUGUUCCAGCUAAGGCGGUAACACCCCGCCUGGGGGAGU
rnacentral:rRNA from 1 species